rnacentral:rRNA from 1 species
AACCCGGCUGUAUGAAGCUGGAAUCGCUAGUAAUCGCAGAUCAGAAUGCUGCGGUGAAUACGUUCCCGGGUCUUGUACACACCGCCCGUCACACCAUGGGAGCCAGGAAUGCCCGAAGCCAGUGGCCUAACCGCAAGGGAGGAGCUGUCGAAGGCAGGCCCGGUAACUGGGGUGAAGUCGUAACAAGGUAAC